AGCGUUGACAGCUGACUUUAUUACGAUUUUCUGACAGUGAACCACUUACCCAGUCAACAGUAGUUUAUAUCGUGCGUGAUAACUGACAGUGUCCAAUAACCUGACGGAAUCUGGGAGUUAACCUACGUAGUUUGCAGGCGAUUUAUGUAAACGAUGAUAGAUGUUCGGAGGUCGUUGCUUUAAGGAUGUGUCUAAUGGUAUCGACGUGCGACCAUCUCUCUCUACAACCGCGGACGUCCUUCUCCUAAGCACACAACCGAAUACCAGACAGAUGGCUCCGCCUUUUUAUAAACGAUCUUCUAAAUGCAGCCCUCCUUUUAUGCAUGCCCAUGACGUUUAAUCUGUUCACCAUUCAUGAACGACAGAACGUGCGCGCUCGUCUAUUUGUGCGUGACACCGAGACGUACCCAGACAACGUUCUUCACAGUCUAAAGUCCACCGGGCGAUUAUAGCGGCGAAUUUAUGUAUUUGCCAUGCAGAAUAAUCGGCGUCAUGUAAAUAAAGAUCAUCCCGUAGAGGAGAGGGACCACACCCAGAAAACGUCAGUACAGUAGAGUCGGAGCAGAUAAAAAGGUGGAAAUCCAGCCCCCCCAGUGAGCGCGGGGAAGGACGCAGUGCGUCGGCGUCGUCCCGUAGGAUAGCUACGUCGCGACGCCGAAUUUGCCCACUACAAUUCCAGACCUCGAGUCAGCAGCUACACAUACGUCCAGCUUCAAGUUCAUUAUCAGAUCAGCUCGGGGAGCUUGGAGGGGCGGUGAUGUGCGGGAUUUCCAGAAGUCUUCAUUUUCGAUGCUCGAAUGCAACCCCCUGCACGUAUACUGAAUGUAUCCUGAGUGUUUCCUAUCCGGUAUACCUUCAGUAUACGUAACAGGAGGCCACAUUGCUACGUGGGAGUUCUGCAGGAUGAAAUUUGGAUACCUGGAAGUUAAAUUGUUCUUAUCAUGCAUUUAUAAGUGUUUCUAUACUUUAGUACUUUAAUGUAAAUCUUAAGUAAAUUUAUGAGCAUGUUUAUAAUAAUCUUAAGUUACCAAUAUUAAAAAAAAUACCUUAAUGCAAAUUAAAUACAUUGAUAUUUUUACUUUUAA